UACAGUUCGUUUACUUGUGUCUUUGAGAACAUAUCAAAAAACCAAAUGACACAAACGCUGUGAAGUAGAUACUUACACGCCGAUACACUUGAUAAAAUUAAUAAAUAUUGUUGUAUCUUACCAAAUCUGGUCACUUGUUUUUUACAUGGUAAAUAGGUUUAACAAAACGGAAUGCUAAAAUGGUGAUAUUCAACGCAGAAUACAUUCCAGAGUACAAAUGGAUAAUGCUAGAGUCAAAUUCCAAUAGUAACAGCACUACCAAUAAAGAACUGAGAACUUUGAAAUGUAAAUCCCGAAAUAACAUUCAAGAUCAGUAUCAUCAUAAUAUUGAAACCGAU